CUAUACAUGCAGUCGAGCGGACAGAAGGGAGCUUGCUCCCGGAUGUUAGCGGCGGACGGGUGAGUAACACGUGGGUAACCUGCCUGUAAGACUGGGAUAACUCCGGGAAACCGGAGCUAAUACCGGAUAGUUCCUUGAACCGCAUGGUUCAAGGAUGAAAGACGGUUUCGGCUGUCACUUACAGAUGGACCCGCGGCGCAUUAGCUAGUUGGUGGGGUAAUGGCUCACCAAGGCGACGAUGCGUAGCCGACCUGAGAGGGUGAUCGGCCACACUGGGACUGAGACACGGCCCAGACUCCUACGGGAGGCAGCAGUAGGGAAUCUUCCGCAAUGGACGAAAGUCUGACGGAGCAACGCCGCGUGAGUGAUGAAGGUUUUCGGAUCGUAAAGCUCUGUUGUUAGGGAAGAACAAGUGCGAGAGUAACUGCUCGCACCUUGACGGUACCUAACCAGAAAGCCACGGCUAACUACGUGCCAGCAGCCGCGGUAAUACGUAGGUGGCAAGCGUUGUCCGGAAUUAUUGGGCGUAAAGGGCUCGCAGGCGGUUUCUUAAGUCUGAUGUGAAAGCCCCCGGCUCAACCGGGGAGGGUCAUUGGAAACUGGGAAACUUGAGUGCAGAAGAGGAGAGUGGAAUUCCACGUGUAGCGGUGAAAUGCGUAGAGAUGUGGAGGAACACCAGUGGCGAAGGCGACUCUCUGGUCUGUAACUGACGCUGAGGAGCGAAAGCGUGGGGAGCGAACAGGAUUAGAUACCCUGGUAGUCCACGCCGUAAACGAUGAGUGCUAAGUGUUAGGGGGUUUCCGCCCCUUAGUGCUGCAGCUAACGCAUUAAGCACUCCGCCUGGGGAGUACGGUCGCAAGACUGAAACUCAAAGGAAUUGACGGGGGCCCGCACAAGCGGUGGAGCAUGGGGUUUAAUUCGAAGCAACGCGAAGAACCUUACCAGGUCUUGACAUCCUCUGACAACCCUAGAGAUAGGGCUUUCCCUUCGNGGACAGAGUGACAAGUGGUGCAUGAUUGUCGUCAGCUCC
rnacentral:rRNA from 1 species